rnacentral:rRNA from 1 species
GAUGAACGCUGGCGGCGUGCCUAAUACAUGCAAGUCGAGCGAACAGACGAGGAGCUUGCUGCUCUGACGGUAGCGCCAGACGGGUGAGUACAACGUGGUUAACCUACCUAUAAGCCUGGGUUAACUUCUGGAAACCGGAGCUAUUACGGGAGAGUAUACUGAACCGCAUGGUUCAAUAGUGGAAUACGGUUUUGCCGGCACUUAUAGAUGGAGCCGCGCCGCAUUACCUAGAUGGUAAGGUAACGGCUUACCAAGGCCACGAGGCGUAGCCGGACUGAGUGGGUGAGCGGCCGCACUGGAAGUGAGACACGGACGGGACUGCUACGGGCGGCAGCAGUAGGGGAUCUUCCGCGAUGGGCGAGAGGAUGCCGGAGGAACGCCCGGUGAGUGAUGAAGGGCUUCGGAUGGUAUAACUCUGUUUUUAGGGAGGGACAAAGGUGUAAGUAGCUAUGCACGGGUUGACGGUAGCUAAGUAGAAAGCGACGGCUAACUACGUG